AUUGAACGCUGGCGGCAGGCCUAACACAUGCAAGUCGAACGAGUGGCGGACGGGUGAGUAUUGCCUGGGAAACUGCCUGAUGGCGGGGGAGAACUACUGGAAACGGUAGGUAAUACUGCAUACCAUCAGAUGUGCCCAGAUGGGGGUAGCUAGUUGGUGGGGUAACGACUCACCAAGGCGACGGUCCAUAGCUGGUGUGAGCGGAUGACCAGCCACACUGGAACGGAAACACGGUCCAGACACCUACGGAAGGCAGCAGUGGGGAAUAUUGCACAAUGGGCGCAAGCCUGAUGCAGCCAUGCCGCGUGUAUGAAGAAGGCCUUCGGGUUGUAAAGUACUUUCAGCGGGGAGGCGUUACCCGCAGAAGAAGCACCGGCUAACUCCGUGCCAGCAGCCGCGGUAAUAC
rnacentral:rRNA from 1 species